GCGCUCACUUCAGCAGCACAUAUAAUAAAAUUUGAGCGAUACAGAGAAGAUUAGCAUGGCCCCUGCGCAAGGAUGACACCCAAAUUCAUGAAGUGUUCCACUAAAAA
rnacentral:snRNA from 1 species